GACGAACGCUGGCGGCGUGCUUAACACAUGCAAGUCGAACGGAAAGGCCCUGCUUUUGUGGGGUGCUCGAGUGGCGAACGGGUGAGUAACACGUGAGUAACCUGCCCUUGACUUUGGGAUAACUUCAGGAAACUGGGGCUAAUACCGGAUAGGAGCUCCUGCUGCAUGGUGGGGGUUGGAAAGUUUCGGCGGUUGGGGAUGGACUCGCGGCUUAUCAGCUUGUUGGUGGGGUAGUGGCUUACCAAGGCUUUGACGGGUAGCCGGCCUGAGAGGGUGACCGGCCACAUUGGGACUGAGAUACGGCCCAGACUCCUACGGGAGGCAGCAGUGGGGAAUAUUGCACAAUGGGCGGAAGCCUGAUGCAGCAACGCCGCGUGCGGGAUGACGGCCUUCGGGUUGUAAACCGCUUUCGCCUGUGACGAAGCGUGGGUGACGGUAAUAGGUAAAGAAGCACCGGCUAACUACGUG
rnacentral:rRNA from 1 species